UACGGGGGGAGCAAGCGUUGUUCGGAUUUACUGGGCGUAAAGGGCGCGUAGGCGGCACCACAAGUCGACUGUAAAAUCUCCGGGCUUAACCCGGAAAGGUCAGCCGAUACUGCGGGGCUAGAGUGCAGAAGGGGCAACUGGAAUUCUCGGUGUAGCGGUGAAAUGCGUAGAUAUCGAGAGGAACACCUGCGGCGAAGGCGGGUUGCUGGGCUGACACUGACGCUGAGGCGCGAAAGCUAGGGGAGCAAACAGG
rnacentral:rRNA from 1 species